rnacentral:rRNA from 1 species
UCGUAGGCGGUUUGUCGCGUCUGCUGUGAAAACUAGAGGCUCAACCUCUAGCCUGCAGUGGGUACGGGCAGACUUGAGUGGUGUAGGGGAGACUGGAAUUCCUGGUGUAGCGGUGGAAUGCGCAGAUAUCAGGAGGAACACCGAUGGCGAAGGCAGGUCUCUGGGCACUUACUGACGCUGAGGAGCGAAAGCGUGGGGAGCGAACAGGAUUAGAUACCCUGGUAGUCCACGCCGUAAACGUUGGGCGCUAGAUGUGGGGACCUUUCCACGGUUUCCGUGUCGUAGCUAACGCAUUAAGCGCCCCGCCUGGGGAGUACGGC